GGAUUCUUCUGGAGGAAUGAGAAGAGAUGCUGAAGCUGGCAUAAGGCUGAUGCAGGGACAAAAUAGAUGUUCUUACAGCCACAUUGUGCUGUUCACAUGGUCUGUGCAGAAGUCAUCAUGUUUAAAACAGAGUGUGAAAUGCUCGUCCUACUGCGAAGUGAAAGGUUCUUUCCACCCUUGUCCUCCAGAUGCAACUUCUCCUGGAGACCCCAGCAUUGCUGUUGCCCUCACCACACUCAUGCAGCAGGGCUGCUCCCCUUCACUCCUCGGGCUCCAGGAGACCAGCCUCUUCCCUAACCCCUCAGUGAUUCCUUGAAAUAGACUGGAAUAGUGAACCGACUUACUGAGGGUUUAGGAAAAGCAGAAGGGAACUAUACACCAAGAAGAACUUAACAUACGGUGUUAAAUAUACCUGCUCUUGGCCCUGGUCUUUCUCAAGGGGGUGUCUCACAGGGGAUUCCCUGUCUAGCAACUGCUGCCCCCUUGUGGCAAAAACUAUCCUUCUCCCGGCCUCAGGGUCUUUCUUGAGUAUAGGCAGGUGUUUUGCAGUCUAGGCCCCCGUCUUUUUUCUCCUGUGUCCCCAGUGACUAUUUUCUGCCCUUGGGGCUGAUUUUCCCUAGAUGAUUAAUAGAGGGAGUCUCCCACCUCCUGGGACUACCCCAUCUUUGACUCCUUUCUAGUCUAGGCGUUAGAGCACAAUAGUCCAACAUCAGUAAAAGCAAAGCAUGAGUGGCUAUUGUCCCCUUACACUUCCUGUUACCAUCUAUGAAUGAUAAAAGAGCCCAGGAGGAAAGCACAACUUAGCUUAAAAAAUAGGCUUGCCGGCUGGGCAUGGUGGCUUAUGCCUGUAAUCCCAGUGCUUUGGGAGGCAAAGGCAGGAGGAUCACUAGAGGCUAGGAGUUCAAGAUAAGCCUGGGCAGUAUAUCAGGAC
rnacentral:lncRNA from 1 species